rnacentral:lncRNA from 1 species
CUCCUACUCCCAGGAGAUGAGGGUGUAAGGUCAGCUGAGAGAAAGGAAAAAUAGACCUAAAGUUAGGCAGGCAACUUUUUAUUAAUCUGCCAGCUGCUCCCCUAAUAGAGAGGAAGCAGCCCCAAGCUUACAGAAUGAGGGGAAGUAGCCCCAAGCUUACAGAAUGAGGGGUUUAUAUUGGGGAGGGGAGUUUGAUGGAGUUCUUUCGUAUGGCCGCAUCCUGGGGUUGUUUGCUGGUUAAUUUUGCUACAUAUUACCUUGUGACGUUUAUUACAGGAGGGUGUAGGUAAAGUUUGUUUAUGUUUCCCAUGACCUCCCCCUGUGCAGUGUGGGUGGUUUGUAAUUGGGGUUUGCUUAUUGCAGCAAGGUCUGAUAAGCAAAGUCUGCUGGCUUCACCGUGGUGCCUAGGUAAGGGCUUAGAAAUGUAAAGAGGCUUGGGGGAUGGGUGGACAGCACCAAGAAGGUUUCUUGGGCAGUUUGUCCCUAACAGAGGGCUGGUUUGGAGUCAGGGAAUCCUGGGGAAGAACACUGACCACUCAGGAAACAUAUCAAAAAACAGACACAUAUCCUAAGUCUACAUUCAUUUCAUAAAAAUGUAUUGGCCCCCUCUUGUGUGCCAAGCAUUAUUCUUGGGUGGCGAAGACAUUGGUGAGGCAAGAUAAAGUCCCUGCACUAAGUUUACACUAAGCUGGGGGAGAGAGAUACCAGGUAUGAAUUCAGCUGACACGAGUUUGGGGAAGACCUUCUAGGCAGAUUGUGUCCAGGAUAAAAACACAGAGGCACAGUUCUGAGGCUUCUAGCAUGGGACAGACAGACUCCUGGAGGAAUUUCUUAGAGAUAGCAUUGAAGGUCAUUGACAGAGGAAUUUGAUUUGCAAGUGUAGCCUAUAUAGAACAGAGUAGCUAGAACAAAGGCUCAUUAAGAUAGAGGCAUGGGCUCUAUUAGCUGGGCGUGGUGGCAAGUGCGUGUGGUCCCAGGUACUUGGGAGGCUGAGGUGGGAGGAUCACUUGAGUCCAGGAGGUUGAGGCUGCAGUGGGCCCAGAUCACGCCACUACACUCCAGCCUGGGCGACAGAGCGAGACCCUGUCUCAAAAAAGUGUUCAUAGCCAGUACCCCCAUGACCUUCCAGGCCCAUGGCAAACCAACCUUCUCAAAGUCAAACCCCCAUCUUUCCCUACAGGCAAACGAUCCCACUUAGCUCCAGCUAAAUGGAUGGAAUCUUUGUUCUCUGAACGUGCCUGUUUUUUUCUGGAGACAGAGUCAGUCUUCUUCUGUCACUCAGCAAAGUGCUGAGAUUACAGGCAUGAGUCACUGCCUGGCCUGACAUGCCUUUAUCUCUCUCUCUUUUUUUUUUUUUUGAGAUGGAGUCUCACUCUGUCGACCAGGCUGGAGUGCAGUGGCGUGAUCUCGGCUCACUGCAACCUCCGCCUCCUGGGUUCAAGUGAUUCUCCUGCCUCAGCCUCCUGAGUAGCUGAGACUACAGGCGCCUGCAAUCACACCCAGCUAAUUUUUGUGUUUUUAGUAGAAAUGGGGUUUCACCAUGUUGGCCAGGCUGGUCUUGAUCUCUUGACCUCGUGAUCCACCCACCUCGGCCUCCCAAAGUGCUGAGAUUACAUGUGUGAGCCACCGCGCCUAGCUAAUUGUUGUAGAGAUGGGUUUUCGCCAUGUUGCCCAGACUGGUCUUAAACUUCUGGGGCUCAAGUGAUCUGCUCCCAUUGGGCUCCCAAAGUGCUGGGAUUAUAGGCAUGAGCCACUGCGCCUGGCAACCUACAUUUUUAAAAGACACUCAGCCAGGCACAGUGGUUCACACCUGUAAUCCCAGCACUUUGGGAGGCUGAGAUGGGAGGAUCACUCAAGGUCAGGAGUUUGAGACCAGCCUGGGCUCCUGAGACAGGUUCCAAAAAUAAAAACCCAUAACAACAAAAGAAAGACCAGCCUGGGUGACAGAGUGAGAACUUUUCUCUAAAAAAUUUUUUUUUUUUAAUUAGCCAGGUAUAAUGGUGCACACUUGUAGUCCCAGCUAUGCAGGACUGAGGCGGGAGGAUGGCUUGAGCCCAGGAAUUCAAGGCUGCAGUGAGCUAAGAUCACACCACUGCAUUCUAACCUGGGUGACACAGACAGACCGUCUCAAAAUAAUAAUAAUGAUAAUAAUAAUAAAAGAUAACCUCGUGAUUCUGCAUCAGGGAGGCCUUAUUUGAAAAUACUAGCCUAGUAUUAACUUCUUUGGGUCAUAUACAUCUUUGCAUGCCUACAUGCCUAUUCCUAGAGACACACACAUACACAAACAUUCCAAGGAGUUUUAGGGGUCUUGGAGCUCAGAUCAACACCUAGCCUUAUUUUAUUAUUAUUAUUUUUUGAGACGGAGUUUCACUCUUUUUUUUUUUUUUUUUUUUUGAGACAGAGUCUCGCUUUGUCAUCCAGGCUGGAGUGUGCAGUGGUGCAAUCUCAGCUCACUGCAACCUCCGCCUCCUGGGUUCACGCCAUUCUCCUGCCUCAGCCUCCUGAGUAGCUGGGACUACAGGCGCCCACCACCUUGCCCGGCUAAUUUUUUUUGUAUUUUUAGUAGAGACAGGGUUUCACCAUGUUAGCCAGGAUGGUCUCAAUCUCCUGACCUCAUGAUCCGCCCGCCUCAGCCUGCCAACGUGCUGGGAUUACAGGUGUGAGCCACCGCGC